UCCGUUGUAGUCUAGAUGGUUAUAAUAUUCGGCUCUCGCCCAAAAGACCCGGAUUAGAGUCCCGGCGAGGGAG
rnacentral:tRNA from 1 species